GCCCCAGUGGCAUAAUGGAUAAGGCACUGGCCUCCUAAGUCAGGGAUUGUGGGUUCGAAAUCCAUGUGGGAUG
rfam:Danio rerio chromosome 22, GRCz11 reference primary assembly.